UACGUAGGGUGCUAGCGUUGUUCGGAAUGACUGGGCGUAAAGGGCGCGUAGGCGGGUUUGUAAGUCGAUUGUGAAAGCCCCGGCUUAACCUGGGAACAGCAGUCGAAACUGCAAAUCUUGGAUGCCUGAGAGGAUGGCGGAAUUCCCGGUGUAGAAGUGAAAUUCGUAGAUAUCGGGAAGAACACCUGAGGCGAAGGCGGCUGUCUGGUGGUGCAUCGACGCUGAGGCGCGAAAGCGUGGGGAGCAAACAGG
rnacentral:rRNA from 1 species